AACACUUCCUCUUUUAAGGGCAGACAUACUGGCAGCCACUGUGCACAGAGGUAAACUUUUAACAAUUGUCUCCUGCCUCCCAGCUUCCCAGCUAGGCAGGUACUGCGGACAAAGGUUGGCUUCUUCCUCUUGCCUCUGUGGGACCCUCUGCUGUGUUCCCUUAAUUUUUAACAGUUCCCUAUGCGACUCUACUCUCUGCCUUGCAUUCUUUCAGGGACAGUGAAAAGCAGCUGUGGCAGCCAUAGGCUUUCACAACCAUCCCAAGCUAACAUUCUAAUGUCCUAUAAUCAAAAGUUGUAAAAUUUAAUAGGUAAUGUGACUUUAAGCCUGACCUCAAGGCUGUAAAAGUUCUUUGAUCCACACCUGGUGCUUGAUUUUACCUUAAGAGGAGGCCAAAACUAGCCCCUAUUGCCACAGUUCCAGAAGCCUGAUCUCUGGCUGUGGUCACAGCUAUAGCUGACAAGCUUUCUAUGCCCCAUGGUGAUUUUUUUUUCUUUUUCUGGGAUGAAGCUUGUGUGUGGUUUAAUAGAAUUUGGUGAUUGGUCCCGCCGCCAUUGUGUGAUCCCGGGCCCAACAGAUGUUGGACUGGGUCAACUCAUAUCCCUGGAUCUGGGCCUGGGUGAUAGCUGGGUGGGCCAGCCUGCCAGCUUUCCAGUAUGGUCUCUAGUGUCUUGGCAGGCUCACUCAGCCUGUAGCAGGGGUGGAGCCAGCUCACCUAUUCCCAGGUCCUCGGACCUGGGUCACCCACACUCACACCAUCAGCAACAGCCCUACUGUUUCUCCCAGGAGAGAAGCAGGCUUCAGUAUCGUGGUUGCUGUAGGGGCAUAUGAGGUGGGGGCAGAGUCAGCUCUCCUACUCUCAUGCCCUCAGUGCUAACUAGCCUGGACCCCGCCCCUACAACAGGGUUGGCUCUAGUGUGCCAUCCAGGCAGGCUGCAGGGCCCAGUCUCCUGUGUGCUGCAGCUGGUGAGGGGCAGGGCUAGCUCUCUCACCCUAGACUCUGGACAGCGGUGUGGCCUUUGGUGGCAUCAUGGGCCUGUGACAUUAACACAGACCCUGGCUAUGUUUGCUGCCGUCCUAAUCUGAAGUCUUCCACGCCCCGAACUUUGGAGUUGAAUUUCUUUUUGCUGACUUUGGAACUGAACCUGGACUCCUGGAGGAGAAGCUAGAAGGAAGGAGGAGAGAGAAGAGGGAAGGAGAGAAGGAGGAGAAGGCUUCAUUGGAGAGUCUGCAGGCGCAGGGACCACAGGCACGGGCAUCCCUUUUACCAGCUGCCUCCUCUAGAUGCUGCUCCUGCCUGGGCUGCCAGUUUUUACCCCCUCUUCCCUUCCUCCCAGUGCCCCCCUAAAGCACCUGACCAUUGACUUGCCCCACCCUCGUGGUGUAGGACUUCCCUAGGAAGGGAGAGGGCGCAUGUGUGCUCACAGGGCUCUAACUUGGUGUGGAGGAGGAGGGUGACUCACUGGACUGAUUUCACUAACUCGUUCUCCUUAGCUACUUCCUCCCCCACCUCCUGACACCCCCAGCACAGAGGGGGUUUCCGUCUCUGCCCCACUCCUUCCUCACACUUUGUAUAUGGUUUCUUCUUCAUUGCUUCCUGCCAGUCUGGGAAACCCCCAGCAUCCUGUUAUUUCUUAAAUUAAAGAUUAAAGAAAAGAUUCUUAAGUCUGUGAA